rnacentral:rRNA from 1 species
GACGAACGCUGGCGGCGUGCUUAACACAUGCAAGUCGAACGGAAAGGCCCUGCUUUUGUGGGGUUCUCGAGUGGCGAACCGGUGAGUAACACGUGAGUAACCUGCCCUUGACUUUGUGAUAACUUCAGGAAACUGGGGCUAAUACCGGAUAGGAGCUCCUGCUGCAUGGUGGGGGUUGGAAAGUUUCGGCGGUUGGGGAUGGACUCGCGGCUUAUCAGCUUGUUGGUGGGGUAGUGGCUUACCAAGGCUUUGACGGAUAGCCCGCCUGAGAGGGUGGCCAGCGACAAUGGGACUGAGAUACGGAGCAGACUCCAACGGGAGGCAGCAGUGGAGAGUAUUACACAGUGGGCGGAAGCGUGAUGCGGCAGCGCCGCGUGCGGGAAGACGGCCUUCGGGUGGUAAACCGCUUUCGCCUGUGACGAAGCGUGAGUGACGGUAAUGAGUAAAGAAGCACCGGCUAACUACGUG